rnacentral:misc_RNA from 1 species
GUGAAUCAUCGAAUCUUUGAACGCAAAUUGCGCUCUCUUCGGAGAGUAUGCGUGUUUCAGGGUGAGCCUAAAAAAAAUCGACAUAGUCACUGUUUCGCGGUGACAUGCGGCGGAAAGGGGGUCAUCUUAAAGCUGUGGGUUUUAAGCGGCUUAAAAUUUUCUUUACGAUUCCACGAACGUUUCUAAGAUUUACUUCGUAAAC